rnacentral:lncRNA from 1 species
CAGAAUGGAACAGAAGCACAGAGCACUGCAGAGAUGCCCCGAGAGCUCUUAGAAAUGGAAGUUGAUGUGGUGUGGAUGCGUGUCCCCUCCAAAUCUCAUGCUGAAACGUGAUCCCCAACGUUGGAGGUAGCCAUGGUGGCAAAUAUUGGAUCAUGGGGGCAGAUUUCUCAAGGAUGACUUAGCACCGUCCCCCUGGUGGAAGCCCUUGGAACAGGAUGUAAAAGCAGCACUUUCCAUCCAGCCUGACAUCCUGCUUCCAGAUGCAGAAGGCUGAGCAGGCCACCAGGAUCACAUUUAAAUGGCUGUGGCCAUGAUGUUCCAAUUUGAAACCUGGACUCCACCAACUUCCAUACUCAUCCCUUGCUCUCAGCCCUCUCCCUCCCCUGUCCAGGUCCUCAGGAUGAUCUGAGAAAUAUGUUACACUUUUCUUCCUCGCUAGAUGUCAACACGUUGGAAGGCAGGGACCUUGCCAUAUUAAUCCUUAGGGCCUUGGGUUCUGCUGUAGUAAAGACUCAAAAAAUGUUGGGUAAAAUUAAUUUUAAAAACAACUGGUGGCCGGGUGCGGUGGCUCACGCCUAUGAUCCCAGCACUUUGGGAGGCCAAGGCGGGUGGAUCACCUGAGGUCAGGAGUUCGAGACCAGCCUGGGCAACAUGGUGAAACCCUGUCUUUACUAAAAAUACAAAAAUUAGCCUGGCGUGGUGGCAGCGCCUGUAGUCCCAGCUACUUGGGAGGCUAAGACAGGAGAAUUGCUUGAACUUGGGAGGCAGAGGUUGCAGUGAACUGAGAUUGUGCCAUUGCACUCUAGUCUGGACGACAGAGUGAAACUCUGUCU